UACCGUCUCAGGAGGUGGAAAGUCCAAU
rnacentral:piRNA from 1 species